rnacentral:lncRNA from 1 species
GGGCUGCUCAGCUUCAAGAGGAAGAAAAGAGAUUCCACCCCUUAAUGCGAAUAGCAUCAUGAGCUCACGGAGAGGAGAGCUGUGGCCAUGCUUAGAGACCAACUCCAGCCUUCUCUCACUGCCUCUUACCUGCCCACCAGCAAUGGACAGGGUCAGGGUUCGUAGUAUUGCCUCCUUUGUUGGUGUAAAAUGACCCAACCAAAUAAACUUGGACCAUCAGACGCACGUGGGUUUGUACUUCAGCUUAGCCACUUAGUAGUUAGGACCUCAGGUAAGUAUUCACAUGAGGUUUGGAGAGAAUUAGAAAUAUUUAUGCAAAGUGCAUAGCCAGGUGUCUGGAAUUUAAGAGGUACUCAGUGACUGUAGCUUCUCCACUUUUUCCUCUUUACCUCCACCUCCAAGAAUAAUGUUAUGCAGCCCUGGAAGGACACCCUCCACCUCUGGACUGGGAUUCCACAGCUGUGCAGCAGCUGCACAGAAACACAAUUAAGGGAGACUGGAAGGAAUAUGGCUGCCGCAGCUCAUUACCAUGCCGCCUCUGCCCGUCCCCAAAUGCAGACCUGGCUAGCGAUUACUGAAGCUCGCUUGGAACCCUCACCAUGGCAGGCGUUUGACAUUAAUUACCUGGUUCAGUGCCCACAACACCAGCAUGCGGCAGGAAGGAAGAUUCCGAAGGCAAGAAGAGUGCCUUAUCCAAGGCCACACAAGUAGCAAAUGGCAGCAUUUAUCUUGAACCUAAGUCUCUUCAGACCCUAAACAAUCCCCUGCUCUUAACCUUAUCUAUGGUUCUCAAACGUCCCUGUGCUUUGGAACUACCUGGGAGCUUUAAAAACUAUCAUGCCUGGAUUCCACUCUUGUUUGAUUGAGUGGCAAUCUCGGGGUAGGGGGCGGACACCAGAAUUUUUUAAAAGCUCCCCAGCCGAUUCACAUGUGCAGCCAGGUUCGAAAACUGUCAUGGGGAAUAAUUCAGUCUCCACUUUCAUGGAGGGCCUCCUCAGGGAGGAGGAGCCUCUCCAGGUUCGCAGGCCAGCUGCUAUGUUGCCCACCACCCUGGGGUGGGGGGUGUUGUGGACGGCUGGACUCUCAGGAUGUUUGCUCCCAGUGU